UUGAACAAUUAGAUGGCACAGCAUAUUUUCAUAAUGAAAGAAUUUCCUUAAUUUUCCUCUUCUCUCACUGAAGCUCUAUUAAGUAGUUCAACCAUUAAAGUCCUUAUUUAUUAGCGAAGCCCAGAUGGCCAGCCACUAUAAGAGUAAAGAAUAGCUGAGCCAUGUCAGACCUUAAUUAAGAGAUUGCAAAUUAGAGGAACAUCACUCAAAGCAUAGGGACUAAAAUCACACUUUUCUACUAUUAUAAUUCCAUAAUGGUUUGUGGAAAGAAAAAAAACCCCACACCCUAAAUAUGACUCAGUCAGAAUGUAACCACUAUAUAAGGAAAAUGUGUGAUAUCCCUGGUGUUAUCCCUUUGCUAAAGCUCUGUCGCUGCUUCUGUUGAAAUUGCAACCCCUGAAUAGUCUUUCCUAUACAUAUUUGCAAGGUGCUAUCACUCCUGUGCUGCACAUGACCUCGAUGGGAACUGGGAGUAUUCCGAAGCUGAAAAAUUAGGUCCAAAGGCCAGAAGCAAUGAAGACUGCCUUGCUGACAAAUUUCCAAAGGCAAAAUGUGAGUGCCAGA